GCCAACCUAUCUAUCGCUGCCAACCUAUCUAUCGCUGCUAAUCUAUCGCCGCUGCCAAUCUAUCCCACACUGCUAAGCUAUCCCUCGCUGCUAAGCUAUCACUGCCAAUCUAUCGCUGCUAAUCUAUCGCUGCCAACCUAUCUACCGCGGCGAAUCUAUCUAUCGCUGCCAAUUUAUCUACCACUGCCAAUCUAUCUAUCGCUGCCAAUCUAUUGCUGCUAAUCUAUCGCCGCUGCCAAUCUAUCUAUCGCUGCUAAUCUAUCGCCGCUGCCAAUCUAUCCCACACUGCUAAGCUAUCCCUCGCUGCUAAGCUAUCACUGCCAAUCUAUCGCUGCUAAUCUAUCGCUGCCAACCUAUCUACCGCGGCGAAUCUAUCUAUCGCUGCCAAUUUAUCUACCACUGCCAAUCUAUCUAUCGCUGCCAAUCUAUUGCUGCUAAUCUAUCGCCGCUGCCAAUCUAUCUAUCGCUGCUAAUCUAUCGCCGCUGCCAAUCUAUCCCUCGCUGCUAAGCUAUCCCUCGCUGCUAAGCUAUCCCUCACUGCUAAGCUAUCCCUCGCUGCUAAGCUAUCCCUCACUACUAAGCUAUCUAUCACUGCUAAUCUAUCGCUGCCAACCUAUCUAUCACUGCCAAUCUAUCUAUCGCUGCUAAUCUAUCGCUGCUAAUCUAUCGCUGCCAACCUAUCUAUCGCUGCCAAUUUAUCUACCACUGCCAAUCUAUCUAUCGCUGCUAAUCUAUCGCUGCUAAUCUAUCGCUGCCAACCUAUCCAUCGCUGCCAAUUUAUCUACCACUGCCAAUCUAUCUAUCGCUGCUAAUCUAUCGCUGCUAAUCUAUUGCUGCUAAUCUAUUGCUGCUGCCAAUCUAUCUAUCACUGCUAAUCUAUUGCUGCUAAUCUACCACUGCUAAUCUAUCGCUGCUAAUCUAUCGCUGUUAAUCUAUCGCUGCUAAUCUAUCGCUGCUAAUCUAUCGCUGCCAACCUAUCUACCGCGGCGAAUCUAUCUAUUGCUGCCAACCAACCUACCACUGCCAACCUAUCUAUCGCUGCCAAUCUAUCACUGCCAAUCUAUCGCUGCCAACCUAUCUACUGCAGUGAAUCUAUCUAUCACUAUCAUUACUAGUUCAAAAUAGAACUAGAGCAUAAAUACACUAAACUUCUUUUGAUAGGUAAUGAUUUUUAAUAAUGCUUAUAGCAUUAUAUCAUCUAUAUAGGGUAAAUCAUGGUCCCAUUUGAUCCCAUUUUGUUAAAAUGGGACCAAAUGGAACCAGAAUCAGUAAUUUAUAAGAAGAACAUGACCUAGAACUAGAUUUAUAAUAUAAACAGUGUAAAGUGACUAAUUUAAUAAACACUAUAUGAGAUCAGAACUAAGAAAUUUGAUAAUGAAACUGAAGAAAUAUUUAGUCUCAGUUUCAUGUAUGGUCACACAGCCAGUCUAAUGCUGUCUGUGUUUUCUCUGAGAUGUUAAAUCAAUACAAAUAAACAAAUAAACAAACAAAAAACUGUGUAUAUCUGCAGUCUUAUACAAACAGCAA
rnacentral:sRNA from 1 species